rnacentral:piRNA from 1 species
UGCAAACUGUUGAGUGUUCCUGUUUG